UACGGGGGGGGCAAGCGUUGUUCGGAAUUACUGGGCGUAAAGGGUUUGUAGGUGGCCCGCUAAGUCACACGUGAAAUCCCUCAGCUUAACUGGGGAACUGCGUGUGAGACUGGCAGGCUCGAGGGCAGGAGAGGAACGCGGAAUUCCAGGUGUAGCGGUGAAAUGCGUAGAUAUCUGGAGGAACACCGGCGGCGAAGGCGGCGUCCUGGACCAACACUGACACUGAUGAGCGAAAGCCAGGGGAGCAAACGGG
rnacentral:rRNA from 1 species